rnacentral:rRNA from 1 species
UUAAGCGACUAAGCGUACACGGUGGAUGCCCUGGCAGUCAGAGGCGAUGAAGGACGUGCUAAUCUGCGAAAAGCGUCGGUAAGGUGAUAUGAACCGUUAUAACCGGCGAUGUCCGAAUGGGGAAACCCAGUGCAAUUCGUUGCACUAUCGUUAACUGAAUACAUAGGUUAACGAGGCGAACCGGGGGAACUGAAACAUCUAAGUACCCCGAGGAAAAGAAAUCAACCGAGAUUCCCCCAGUAGCGGCGAGCGAACGGGGAGCAGCCCAGAGUCUGAAUCAGCUUGUGUGUUAGUGGAACGGUCUGGAAAGUCCGACGGUACAGGGUGAUAGUCCCGUACACCAAAAUGCACAGGCUGUGAACUCGAAGAGUAGGGCGGGACACGUGGUAUCCUGUCUGAAUAUGGGGGGACCAUCCUCCAAGGCUAAAUACUCCUGACUGACCGAUAGUGAACCAGUACCGUGAGGGAAAGGCGAAAAGAACCCCGGCGAGGGGAGUGAAAAAGAACCUGAAACCGUGUACGUACAAGCAGUGGGAGCACCUUCGGGUGUGACUGCGUACCUUUUGUAUAAUGGGUCAGCGACUUAUAUUCUGUAGCAAGGUUAACCGUAUAGGGGAGCCGCAGGGAAACCGAGUCUUAACUGGGCGUUAAGUUGCAGGGUAUAGACCCGAAACCCGGUGAUCUAGCCAUGGGCAGGUUGAAGGUUGGGUAACACUAACUGGAGGACCGAACCGACUAAUGUUGAAAAAUUAGCGGAUGACUUGUGGCUGGGGGUGAAAGGCCAAUCAAACCGGGAGAUAGCUGGUUCUCCCCGAAAGCUAUUUAGGUAGCGCCUCGUGAAYUCAUCUUCGGGGGUAGAGCACUGUUUCGGCUAGGGGGUCAUCCCGACUUACCAACCCGAUGCAAACUACGAAUACCGAAGAAUGUUAUCACGGGAGACACACGGCGGGUGCUAACGUCCGUCGUGAAGAGGGAAACAACCCAGACCGCCAGCUAAGGUCCCAAAGUCAUGGUUAAGUGGGAAACGAUGUGGGAAGGCACAGACAGCCAGGAUGUUGGCUUAGAAGCAGCCAUCAUUUAAAGAAAGCGUAAUAGCUCACUGGUCGAGUCGGCCUGCGCGGAAGAUGUAACGGGGCUAAACCAUGCACCGAAGCUGCGGCAGCGACACUAUGUGUUGUUGGGUAGGGGAGCGUUCUGUAAGCCUGCGAAGGUGWSCUGUGAGGSWUGCUGGAGGUAUCAGAAGUGCGAAUGCUGACAUAAGUAACGAUAAAGCGGGUGAAAAGCCCGCUCGCCGGAAGACCAAGGGUUCCUGUCCAACGUUAAUCGGGGCAGGGUGAGUCGACCCCUAAGGCGAGGCCGAAAGGCGUAGUCGAUGGGAAACAGGUUAAUAUUCCUGUACUUGGUGUUACUGCGAAGGGGGGACGGAGAAGGCUAUGUUAGCCGGGCGACGGUUGUCCCGGUUUAAGCAURUAGGCUGGUUAUCCAGGCAAAUCCGGAUAAUCAAGGCUGAGGUGUGAUGACGAGGCACUACGGUGYUGAAGUAACAAAUGCCCUGCUUCCAGGAAAAGCCUCUAAGCAUCAGGUAACAUCAAAUCGUACCCCAAACCGACACAGGUGGUCAGGUAGAGAAUACCAAGGCGCUUGAGAGAACUCGGGUGAAGGAACUAGGCAAAAUGGUGCCGUAACUUCGGGAGAAGGCACGCUGGU